rnacentral:sRNA from 1 species
AAACAGAAAACCAAAA